rfam:Brassica oleracea var. oleracea cultivar TO1000 chromosome C2, whole genome shotgun sequence
GGAAUAUAAGAAUCCGUCUCUUAACUUUUAACUAAAAAAACUAAGAACCGUCUCUUAAAACUCUUAUUUAAGAGUCGGUUCUUAGCUUUUUUAGUUAAAAGUUAAGAGACAUAUUCUUAUAUUUC